rnacentral:rRNA from 1 species
GAUGAACGCUGGCGGCGUGCCUAAUACAUGCAAGUCGAGCGAACAGACGCGGCGCUUGCUCCUCUGACGUUUGCGGCGGACGGGUGAGUAACACGUGGAUAACCUCCCUAUAAGACUGGGAUAACUUCGGGAAACCGGAGCUAAUCCCGGAUAAUAUAUUGAACCGCAUGGUUCAUUAGUGAAAGACGGUUUUGCUGUCACUUAUCGAUGGAUCUGCGCCGCUUUAGCUAGUUGGUAAGGUAACGGCUUAUCAAGGCAACGAUGCGUAGCCGACCUGAGAGGGUGAUCGGCCACACGGGAACUGAGACACGGUCCAUACUCCUACGGGAGGCAGCAGUAGGGAAUCUGCCGCAAUGGGCGGAAGCCUGACGGAACAACGCCGCGUGAGUGAUGAAGGUCUUCGGAUCGUAAAACUCUGUUAUUAGGGAAGAACAAAUGUGUAAGUAACUAUGCACGUCUUGACGGUACCUAAUCAAAAAGCCACGGCUAACUACGUG